rnacentral:rRNA from 1 species
AACGUAGGUUCCGAGCGUUAUCCGGAUUUACUGGGCGUAAAGCGCGUUCAGGCGGUUUGGCAAGUCGGGCAUGAAAUCUCUCGGCUCAACCGGGAGAGGUUGUCCGAUACUGCUGGACUUGGGGGCAGUAGAGGGUGGUGGAAUUCCGGGUGUAGUGGUGAAAUGCGUAGAUAUCCGGAGGAACACCAGUGGCGAAAGCGGCCACCUGGACUGCACCUGACGCUGACACGCGAAAGCUAGGGGAGCGAACGGG